rnacentral:lncRNA from 13 species
AUGUUUUCUUUGUCUUUUGUUCUUUCUGGGGGUUUUUGUAUCUCUUACAGACAGACAGGUGCCUUGGAUCGCAGUCGUGACAUCAUGAUGGAGAUUGACCACCAGCGACACCUUGGGUUGCCAAGCUUCAAUUUCCAGGAUAAGCUUAGUCAGAUGUGGCAGCUCAGAGAUGUCCUGACCACGCCUGACAACCUGCCUGCCCUGCUUGAGCUCCCCCUAGCCUUGGAGCAGGGUACUGCAGAGUCGACUCACGCCACAACAGAGGAGGAAGAGGAGGAGAACGACCAGAAUUCAGUACUUGAUGAGGAUCUGCAUAGGCGGCUGCAAGAGGCAGAGAAGAGGAAUGGAGAGCUGGAGAAAGAGAUGGAGAGACUGAGAGGGGAGAUCCAGGGUCUGAAGUCCCCCAAGGAGACAGAACUGCGUGUCUGCCCGUCGUCUCUUUCUCUGCCUGCACACUGUCUGGACGAUGGGAAGAAAUCGCCCCCUGCCUGUCACUACCCGCUGGUGAUCCCUCUCCACCGCCACCUGCUGCUGUUUCACAGGAUGCGCUGGCCACAGCAGAGAAGUGAGUCCUACUUGUUGGUGUGUGCGGAGGGGAGAGAUCUCCAAGCCUGGGACAGACACUGCUGUACUGAGAUCUCCNNNNNNNNNNGGGGAUGUUUUUCAUUGGCAGGGACUGGGAAACUGGUCAGAAUUGAAGGAAUGAUGGAUGGCACUAAAUACAGGGAAUUCUUGAGGGAAACCUGUUUUAGUCUUCCAGAGAUUUGAGACUGGGACGGAGGUUCACCUUCCAGCGGGACAAUGACCCUAAGCAUACUGCUAAAGCGACACUCGAGUGGUUUAAGGGGACACAUUUAAAUGUCUUGGAAUGGCCUAGUCAAAGCCCAGACCUCAAUCCAAUUGAGAGUCUGUGGUAUGACUUAAAGAUUGCUGUACACCAGCGGAACCCAUCCAACUUGAAGGAUCUGGAGCAGUUUUGCCUUGAAGAAUGGGCAAAAAUCCCAGUGGCUAGAUGUGCCAAGCUUAUAGAGACAUACCCCAAGAGACUUGCAGCUGUANNNNNNNNNNNNNNNNNNNNNNNNNNNNNNNNNNNNNNNNNNNNNNNNNNNNNNNNNNNNNNNNNNNNNNNNNNNNNNNNNNNNNNNNUUUGAGCUAGUAUGGUGGACGGGCGUUAAAGUGAAUGCUAUACUCAUUGCACUUGUCCAAUAUAUAGAAUUAAGAGUGAGCAGAGUGCUGGGCAUGAAUGGGGUAACGGGGAACAUGGAGCAGUGGGAUAACCAUAGGAAAGCUAAGGACUGUCACUAGCUUAAAAUGAAUGGGGAGGUAUAGAAAAUGUUAAUGAAGGACAUCUCCUCCUGGACUACUAAUAGAUGCCUGUUGCUUUCCGAGUGUCGCUAUGUGGGCACUUAUAUCUCUGAGCGGACUGAGGUAAAAGCAAGCUCUGACAACAAGAAGACACCACAGCAAAGAGACAUUGCUGGUUUAAGUGACAGCCAGAGGGGACAAUCAGUCCACUCCAUAAGCACACACUCUCCAGCACACCUGGACAUUAUUGGUGCAUUUUGUCCAAUAUUAUUGUGGUACAAAUGUUCAGUCAUUAAUUUUUAACAGCAUCAUCUAGUGGUUUACUUUGUAUAUAUACAUGUAAGAGUGGAUUGUGUUGAAUGUGAGAGGUAUUCGUUACACUACAGGCUUUGAUGAAAGCAUGCUAUUAGAUGGGCCUGUUUGGAAUACAUAGAUGACAUCUACAGAACAAUACCAAGCAAAUGUUGACUGAAGGCUAAGGACAGAGAGAUCGGAGGUUGGUGUGUUUUACGAUUUCUGGGAUUGCAAGGUUACACUUUAAGGUUGCACUUAACUCAGGUCCAGGGCUUGCUGAUGCUGAGCCUUCCUACAUCAAGGCUGUGUAGGUUGUAGGAAGGCUCUGCGUCAGCAAGCCGCAUGUAAAGCCUUGAACCAGUGCUAGGAUAGAUGAUGUACAGUUGAAGUCGGAAGUUUACAUACACCUUAGCCAAACAUUUAAUCCUAGUAAAAAGUCACUGUUUUAGGUCAGUUAGGAUCACCAAUUUAUUUUAAGAAUGUGAAAUGUCAGAAUAAUAGUAGAGAGAAUUAUUUAUUUCAGCUUUUAUUUUUUUCAUCACAUUCCCAGUGGGUCAGAAGUUUACAUACACUCAAUUAGUAUUUGGUAGCAUUGCCUUUACAUUGUUUAACUUGAUCAAACGUUUUGGGUAGCCUUCCACAAUCUUCCCACAAUAAGUUGGGUGAAUUUUGGCCCAUUCCUUCUGACAGAGCUGAGUCAGGUUUGUAGGCCUCCUUGCUCGCACACGCUUUUUCAGUUCUGCCCACACAUUUUCUAUAGGAUUGAGGUCAGGGCUUUGUGAUGGCCACUCCAAUACCUUGACUUUGUUGUCCUUAAGCCAUUUUGCCAACUUUGGAAGUAUGCUUGGGGUCAUUGUCCAUUUGGAAGACCCAUUUGCGACCGAGGUUUAACUGAUGUCUUGAGAUGUUGCUUCAAUGUAUCCACUUCAUUUUCCUACCUCAUGAUGCCAUCUAUUUCGUGAAGUGCACCACUCCCUCCUGCAGCAAAACACCCCCACAACAUGAUGCUGCCACCCCGUGCUUCACGGUUAGGAUGGUGUUCUUCGGCUUGCAAGCCUCCCCCUUUUUCCUCCAAACACAACAAUGGUCAUUAUGGCCAAACAGUUCUAUUUUUGUUUCAUCAGACCAGAGGGCAUUUCUACAAAAAGUACGAUCUUUGUCCCCAUGUGCAGUUGCAAACCGUAGUCUGGCUUUCUUAUGGUGGUUUUGGAGCAGUGGCUUCUUCCUUGCUGAGCGGCCUUUCCGGUUAUGUUGCUAUAGGACUCAUUUUACUGUAGAUAUAGAUACUUUUGUACCUGUUUCCUCCAACAUCUUCACAAGGUCCUUUGCUGUUGUUCUGGGAUUGAUUUGCACUUUUCGCACCAAAGUACGUUCAUCUCUAGGAGACAGAACGCGUCUCCUUCAUGAACGGUAUGACGGCUGCGUGGUCCCAUGGUGUUUAUUCUUGCGUACUAUUGAUUGUACAGAUGAAAGUGGUACCUUCAGGCGUUUGGAAAUUUCUCCCAAGGAUUAACCAGACUUGUGGAGGUCUACAAAUUAUUUUCUGAGGUCUAGGCUGAUUUCUUUUGAUUUUCUCAUGAUGUCAAGCAAAGAGGAACUGAGUUUGAAGGUAGGACUUGAAAUACAUCCACAGGUACACCUCCAAUUGACUCAAAUGAUGUCAAUUAGCCUAUCAGAAGCUUCUAAAGCCAUUACAUAAUUCAAUGGAAUAUUCCAAGCUGAUUAAAGGUACAGUCAACUUAGUGUAUGUAAACUUUUGACCCAGUGGAAUUGUGUUACAGUGAAUUAUAAGUGAAAUAAUCUGUCUGUAAACAAUUGUUAGAAAAAUGACUUGUGUCGUGCACAAAGUAGAUGUCCUAACCGACUUGCCAAGACUAUAGUUUGUUAACAAGAAAUAUUUGGAGUGUUUGAAAAACGAGUUUUAAUUACUCCAACCUAAGUGUAUGUAAACUUCCGACUUCAACUGUAUAGUUAGAAUACAUGAUUGGGGGCAAUGGGGCACAAGGAAGGCAAUGGUAUGAAGGAAAGUUUGCUAUUCUGGUUAGAGUACAGUAUAGCCAAUUAAUAAUGGCAAGAAUAUUGGUUUAAAUCCACAAAAUGUAUACUGUGGUAGCUAUAGAUCAUACAGCCAAAAUGCUAUGCACCUUGCUGUUAGGGAAAGCCAUGUUAAAUCAUAUAGGCCUAAUAUGGUCCUUUGGACGGUGAAGCAUGCGAGAGAAUAAUACCGGAUUUUGGUGAGAGAAUUGCUGUAUGCUACAAAAUAUUCACCAUAGCUUUACAAGGCCUUUUCUGUGUGAGCAAUAUUUGAGAUGUGCAUGAGGCAUUACACGACUGUUCAAUCACUGGGCACUAAAGGUCUUUUUUUAUUUUUCUUACUUAAUUUGCUUUAAAAGAAGUGGUAUUAUAUUUGAUUACUGAGAUGCCUUAAAGUUUUUCUGCACAUAUUUAAUAAUCUUUUGGAAACCAUAUUGAUUAUACUAAUAAAGUAUUUAUUGUGGCUCUAUCUCUUGGCUCAUGAAUGAAGUGAGACGUAAGCCAAUAUCGCCCCUAUGUGGUCGAAAAAGGAUAAAACACGCAUAUUCAUUUUGAAGGGAAUUACAACACUUUUUGCUGUGAUUACUAUUUCCUAUGAACAUUUUUCCUGUUGUCAACAUUUUCAAUUGUGUUUCAAAUCAUUUCAAUUCAAAUGAUGAUCAUCAAAUGUGCUAAGGUCUAUAUUAGGUUAUUAGGCUACCAACAAUCAAACCUUCAAUUAUAGUGAUUAAAAGGAAGGGGGGCAAGGAGUCCAUAGAGAAAGCAAGAACAAGAUGGGUGUCAGGAGUGGGGCAGCAGUAUUAUCAUAAGGAGACUUAUACUUGGAAAACUGAGGAGGAAUGGAGGGAAAAAAGAGAGGGAGAGAGGUCUAAGAGAGAGAGGGAAGAAGAGGGUGAGCUUGAGUCGGAAAAAAAUGGUGGGAAAAAGGGAGAUGGUUUGUUGAAGAAGAAUGGUAGAAAGUGUAAGCAGAUGGAGCUGAAGACAGGAGGAGAAAAGGAAGUGAAUGAGGGUGAAGUAUCGGAGGCCGUAGGUGCUGUGAAGUUAUCGGAAACCGAGGUACCUACCGAGGAUCAGGAAAAAAAGAGUCUGUGACAGUAGGAGUGAAGUUUAUUGUUAAAAGUGGACUCUUGCCUUUUGGCUGAUCCAUUUGCGGUUUCAUGGUGGGUGAAAAAAGAGUUGGGUCAUGUGGAAUCGAUGAGGGUAACCAGAAGUGGUCUAAUG